UCUAUGUGUUUCUAACUUCUCCAAUUCUCAUCUGUAACGUCGGGCUCCAGAUUUGUCUUCUUUCUAUAUAUCGAUCAAAGAAAAUAACAUCAAGAAUCAAAAACGGCUGUUUCCAAAGGAAUGAGUGAUACAGAUAAAAAAACACCAUUCAAUGGAUAUAAAGGUCUUCUCUUUGUGGAACUAAAAUAUCUAAGAAAGAUGAUGAAAGCGAUCAAGAGGCUAUUUGAUUUCGAUUUUCAGGUCAUCUUACUAUGGAUUCAUGUAUUAUUAAAGUUCUGCCAUAUAACCAUCAAGGAAGUUUUCAUAGUUUGAUAUUUGGAUCCAGAAAGGAUUUGGUUAUUCUCGAAGGUCUGUAUACGGUUUUCGGAAUCUCUCAUCCGCCACCACUUGCACAAUUUUAAACAGAGGUCUUCACACUCUGUCUUUGCCAGAAACGGCCAAGCCGGAGGUCGCUACUAUCUGUAAAAUUAUUGCAUAGAUGAACUUUGUGCUUCUUCCUCGAUCAUCAGAUAUGAUGAACUUUGUUUUUCCAGUUCAUGGUUUAAGCCUUUAAGGUACCUUUUACGUUGCUUUUCAUAGUUUAUUUGAAUAAGAUUUUAUUAGGUAUUUUUCAAGUUGGGAGGUGAAAGUUCAUGUUCUUCAUUUUCUAGGUUCAGAUCGCUUUCAAAGUCUUAUAUAUUGUAUUAUGUUUUGGCGAUGAUAGUAGCAGGGCUACUGAAAGUUUGUUACUGAAACAUUCAGAGUUCACUUCAGGAACAAGAAAGGUACACGUUUAAUUUCUAGAAGUCAUGAAGGUUGGGUUUCUUUGACACAAUAUCAAAAUCCAUGAGCUUUAGCGUUUGGAUCUGGCUAUUUUUGGGAAAGAAUGAUAUAGAUGUUUCAAUAUAUCAGGAUUGUACUCUGGUUGAACCCAAAUGGUGUUUGAAUGUUUCAGUACGAGUCUGGGUUCUCCAAAGGAAUCAUACGAGGUCGGCCAUGGUUAUGGGUUGUUGUUUUAGAAUGAAGCAUACAUGUAUUAUAGUUGCUCAGAAUAAUAUAGUUCUGGAGUGGUUUAUGUAUCUCUCAGUAUGUAAGUUAUCGGAGUUGUCGCAUUAAGGUUUGCUCUAGGUUAAGGUCAUUUGGCAUUUAUUAUCAAACUAUGCAGUUGGUCUUUUUGAGGGCUCAUUUAUGGUUCUGGAUGGGUUUAUAAAGCUUUCAGUUUCAUUCAUUCUAUCAAGUUAAAAACACUCUAAGAAGGUGAUUAAGCCAAAAUCAUCACAGGAAAGGAGUUUAUUGAUGGGAAAUGAGUCGGUUGCUCUCUGGUCUGUACUUUUAAAUUUUUUGGUAAAUGGUGGUUGCAAAGUA